UACGGAGGGUGCAAGCGUUAUCCGGAUUUAUUGGGUUUAAAGGGUCCGUAGGCGGACUCGUAAGUCAGUGGUGAAAUCUCAUAGCUUAACUAUGAAACUGCCAUUGAUACUGCGGGUCUUGAGUAAGGUAGAGGUAGCUGGAAUAAGUAAUGUAGCGGUGAAAUGCAUAGAUAUUACUUAGAACACCAAUUGCGAAGGCAGGUUACCAUGUCUUAACUGACGCUGAUGGACGAAAGCGUGGGGAGCGAACAGG
rnacentral:rRNA from 1 species